GUCUACAGCCAUGCUACCCUGAGCAAGCCCAAUCCCAUCUGAUCUCGGAAGCUAAGCAGGGUUGGGUUUAGUUAGUACUUAGAUGGGAGACCACCUAGGAAGACCAGGUGCUGUAGGCA
rnacentral:rRNA from 1 species